CGGCGGCAGCGGGCGGGAUGAGCGAGCGCAGCCCCCACGCCCCCCCCUCCGCGGCGGAGGCCCCCGGUGGGCAGCAGCAAGGCUGUCCCCAAGCGUGUCCCCGUCCCGUGUCCCCUCCCGGCAGCCAAGGCUGAGCCCAAGAAGGAGGAAGAGGAGGAGGAGGAGGAGAUCGACAUCGACCU